rnacentral:rRNA from 1 species
AGAGUUUGAUCCUGGCUCAGAUUGAACGCUGGCGGCAUGCCUUACACAUGCAAGUCGAACGGUAACGGGCCUUCGGGUGCCGACGAGUGGCGAACGGGCGAGUAAUGCAUCGGAACGUACCUUUCAGUGGGGGAUAACGUAGCGAAAGUUACGCUAAUACCGCAUAUUCUGUGAGCAGGAAAGCAGGGGAUCACAAGACCUUGCGCUGAUUGAGCGGCCGAUGUCAGAUUAGCUAGUUGGUGAGGUAAAGGCUCACCAAGGCGACGAUCUGUAGCGGGUCUGAGAGGAUGAUCCGCCACACUGGAACUGAGACACGGUCCAGACUCCUACGGGAGGCAGCAGUGGGGAAUUUUGGACAAUGGGGCAACCCUGAUCCAGCCAUGCCGCGUGAGUGAAGAAGGCCUUCGGGUUGUAAAGCUCUUUCGGCCGGGAAGAAAUCGCAUGGGUUAAUACCCUGUGCGGAUGACGGUACCGGCAUAAGAAGCACCGGCUAACUACGUG